CGCAAUGUGACUCCGUGAACUACAGCUAAACAUUUGAUGAAGAACAACGUGUUUCCUGCAGAACUCAGUGUUUGACUGCUUCACUGAGCUUUGCUGCGUGUUGCUAAGCGGCUGCCACGUUCUUUUAGGUGGUUGUUAGGGUGAUGUUAAGUGGCUAAAAUGUUAUGGUGUUGCCAAGUAGCUAACAUGUUCUUUUAGGUGGUUGUUAGGGUGAUGUAAAGUGGCUAAAGUGUUGGGGUGUUGCUAAGUGGUUACUAUGUUCUAUUAGGUGGUUGUUAGGGCGUUGCUAAGUAGUUAAAGUGUCAGGGUGUUGCUAAGUGGUUACUGUGUUCUUUUGGAUGGUUGUUAGGGUAGGGCUGUGCAAAAAAAUUGAAUGUGAUUUUCAUGUGCAUAUCAUCAGUAAAGGUGCUUUUGUGAUUAGUCAAGUCUGCUUUAUUGUCAAUAGUAUAUCUCCAGCAUGUGUGUUCAGAUCAGGGUUGCCAGGUUUUCACAACAAAGCCUGCCAGUUGCUUCUCAAAACUAGCCCGAUCGCAUUUCCAGGAGGUUCCCCGAUAAAAAUUGCAUCCCGGGGAUAAAAUACAAAUUUAUUUGGCAGCGUUGUCUUGGUAAAAUUCACAUUUUAAGGGCUAAAUAUCACGCUAUUGGAAUUUGCGUUGUUUCAACCUGCUGACAUGAAAAACAACCGCAGACUUGUCAACACUGGUUCAGGUGGAGCGGCAUUCACUACACAGAGCCGUAGUUCACUGACAAGCUACACACAAUCAGUUUCAAAAUCGGCAAUGGAUCGCCUGUGCAGCCCUAGUUGUUAGGGUGUUGCCAAUUGGCUACCAUGUUCUUUUAAGUGGUUGCCAAGGUGUUGCUAAGUGAGUACAGCAUUCUUUUGGGUGGUUGUUAGGGUGUUGCCAAUUGGCUACCAUGUUCUUUUAAGUGGUUGCCAAGGUGUUGCUAAGUGGUUACAGCAUUCUUUUGGGUGGUUGUUAGGGUGUUGCCAAUUGGCUACCAUGUUCUUUUAAGUGGUUGCCAAGGUGUUUCUAAGUGGUUACAACAUUCUUUUGGGUGGUUGUUAGGGUGUUGCCAAUUGUCUACCAUGUUCUUUUAAGUGGUUGCCAAGGUGUUGCUAAGUGGUUACAGCAUUCUUUUGGGUGGUUGUUAGGGUGUUGCCAAUUGGCUACCAUGUUCUUUUAAGUGGUUGCCAAGGUGUUUCUAAGUGGUUACAGCAUUCUUUUGGGUGGUUGUUAGGGUGCUGCCAAUUGUCUACCAUGUUCUUUUAAGUGGUUGCCAAGGUGUUUCUAAGUGGUUACAGCAUUCUUUUGGGUGGUUGUUAGGGUGUUGCCAAUUGGCUACCAUGUUCUUUUAAGUGGUUGCCAAGGUGUUGCUAAGUGGUUACAACAUUCUUUUGGGUGGUUGUUAGGGUGUUUCUAAGUGGUUACCACAUUUUUUUGGGUGGUUGUUAGGGUGUUGCUAAGUGGUUACCACAUUCUUUUGUGGUUGUUAGGGUGUUGCCAAUUGGCUACCAUGUUCUUUUAAGUGGUUGCCAAGGUGUUUCUAAGUGGUUACAACAUUCUUUUGGGUGGUUGUUAGGGUGUUGCUAAGUGGUUACCACAUUUUUUUGGGUGGUUGUUAGGGUGUUGCCAAUUGGCUACCAUGUUCUUUUAAGUGGUUGCCAAGGUGUUGCUAAGUGGUUACCACAUUCUUUUGGGUGGUUGUUAGGGUGUUGCCAAUUGUCUACCAUGUUCUUUUAAGUGGUUGCCAAGGUGUUGCUAAGUGGUUUCCACAUUCUUUUGGGUGGUUGUUAGGGUGUUGGGAGUGGUUUCUUGAUCUCUGGUUAGCUGAUCAUCAGUGGGUUAUUCCAAAAAGCAGGUUAACUUUCAUACAAACACCUUCAGAGUUUAAUCUCUCAGAGUCAAGUUUUAGUCUUAAGUAGGGCUGCAC